rnacentral:rRNA from 1 species
AAGUCGAGGGGCAGCAGGACUGUAGCAAUACAGUUGCUGGCGACCGGCAAACGGGUGCGGAACACGUACGCAAUCUACCCAGAACAGGUGAAUAGCCCUCCGAAAGGAGGAUUAAUACACCGUAACAUAUUGAGAAGGCAUCUUUUUAAUAUUAUAGCUCCGGCGGUUUUGGAUGAGCGUGCGGCUGAUUAGGUAGUUGGUCGGGGUAAUGGCCCACCAAGCCAACGAUCAGUAACUGGUGUGAGAGCACGACCAGUCACACGGGCACUGAGACACGGGCCCGACUCCUACGGGAGGCAGCAGUAAGGAAUAUUGGUCAAUGGACGCAAGUCUGAACCAGCCAUGCCGCGUGAAGGAUGAAGGUCCUCUGGAUUGUAAACUUCUUUUAUGGGGGACGAAACCCGGGAAUUCUUUCCCGAUUGACGGUACCCUAGGAAUAAGCACCGGCUAACUCCGUGCCAGCAGCCGCGGUAAUACGGAGGGUGCAAGCGUUAUCCGGAUUCACUGGGUUUAAAGGGAGCGUAGGAGGGCAGGUAAGUCAGUGGUGAAAUCCUGGGGCUUAACUCCAGAACUGCCGUUGAUACUAUCUGUCUUGAAUACCGUGGAGAUGAGCGGAAUAUGUCAUGUAGCGGUGAAAUGCUUAGAGAUGACAUAGAACACCAAUUGCGAAGGCAGCUCGUUACACGCAUAUUGACUCUGAGGCUCGAAAGCGUGGGGAUCAAACAGGAUUAGAUA